UACGUAGGGGGCUAGCGUUAUCCGGAAUUACUGGGCGUAAAGGGUGCGUAGGCGGUCUUUCAAGCCAGAAGUGAAAGGCUACGGCUCAACCGUAGUAAGCUUUUGGAACUGUAAGACUUGAGUGCAGGAGAGGAGAGUGGAAUUCCUAGUGUAGCGGUGAAAUGCGUAGAUAUUAGGAGGAACACCAGUAGCGAAGGCGGCUCUCUGGACUGUAACUGACGCUGAGGCACGAACGCGUGGGGAGCAAACAGGAUUAGAUACCCUGGUAGUCCCU
rnacentral:rRNA from 1 species